GGGAAGGAGGAUAUCUGAAGGUGUCCGAUCAUGACAUACAGCUGAUUGGAGGUGAAGAACCUCAAUUGUUACUUCGAGGACACCAUGGGGGGUUCGAAAUUCUGCGCCAAGAAUACUAUAGAUAAUCUAAAUGGCGAGUUGAGAGAAGGAUUCUUGUCGGCUGAUGAAACAGACGUUGGAUCAGGGAAUGGGCCCAAGCCGACAUGUUUCAGCAAAAAAAUCGACCCCCACAUUCAGAACCGAGACUUGGCCGAUUGUUGUUUGAACGUCAGCUCCCUGUUAAACUAGAAUAUCAGCAGUUCAAACAAUCACCAAGAAAAGCUAUGGAUAAAGAGUAUUCUCACUGCGCUGGAUCAUUUCGUGAUCGGCUAUGCUAUGCCGAUACAUGAUAGCCAAUGUGUUAACAUCGCCUUUAGAUGGCCGAUGAAUAUUCAUCGCCCUUAGACCAAUAUAAUUCCACUAAAAAGAUUUUUCGCCGGCAGUAAGACGCAAGUACAUGAGUAAGAACAAGGAGCUUGAGAUAUAAAAUUUAGAAUAGGAAUUCAAAUGUUAAAGUGGGAGCCAAUCAGACACCGUCCGAUCUCUAUUACAAAAAUGGUUCGGAUGAGCAAGGGGUCUUUCUGUGGAAACCUUCAUGAGCAAUCAUCAUUUUUUAUGGUUUUUCCGCUUAUCACAGCUGCUCUUUCCACACCAUCCAAUCAAGGAGGCAGUACUUCUGCCUGAGUUCCUCUAGAUCCUACUCGUUGGGAUUACCGUGCUCCCGCAGGUUGUUCACCAUGAGUCAAAAGUGAAUUACGAGUCAGACCAAUCUGCGAAUCGAGCGAGCUCCCCUUGCAAUGAUGUGGUGGUGAACCUCUCAUUCGUCUUCAGUGCUUCGAGCAGGGCUGGAUAGAUAUCUGUUCUGUUGGUGAAUCUCGGGCAUCUUCACGGCUAAGAUCAAAAGAAGUUAUUUAAUUAGUAAAAGAAAUCGAUCACUGCUUGGACUCCCCGAAUGGGAGUUACUUUUCUUCUACUAAAAGUACCACAAAAAAAUGGAAUUUCAUCAACAUCUAAAUUUUCGUAUAUAUAUUAUUUAUUUUAUUGUUUUGUGUUAAUGUUGGAGAUGGUGGAGGAGUAGAGCGAUCAAGGAAAUGCAUCAAGCCAUGACCUCGUACAAUCGGCCCAAUCUUUGAUUUCCACGCCAGAAAGUUCGAUUGAUCUAGUUUGAACGAGACAGGAUGAUUUCACUCCAUCCAUGAUUUCAAUAAUUUAUUAUUCGCUAACUCACUUCCGAGAUUAAGCUCAGGAGAAAUAGCAUCCAUUGAACUCCGCCCGUCAAUUGCGAGGCACGAAGCGUUUCUUAUCUUGUAUCCCCAUCCGAACAAGUAGGGUCAAUAGUUCAGCAUUUAGGCCGUAACUAGGGAUGGCAAUCGGGCGCGACGGGCACGGGUAGUGCCUACCCAUAUCCAUACCCGUGAGAUUAUCUGUGCCCGUGGGUAUACCCAUUACUACAUGACGGGUAAGGAUGGUUGCCUAUGCCCAUUGUCCGCGGGCGCCUUAUGCCCGCGGGCGUGCCCGUUUACCCACCACAACAAAAGCAGUUGACAAAAAGUCUACAAGCUUCUAAGUUUGAAUCGAACUUAAAACAUCUCGUGUCUCUCCUCUAGCGGCGAUAGAGUAAGGGGAGAGAAAUAAUAAGAGAAAUAAAAGGGAAACUGUAAAAAACAAAGAACACGGCUUAUGUAUUCUAGUGGAUUUUACUCUUAGCCUACAUGUAAGUUAGAUUUCGCGGGUAAACGGGUAAAGCGGGCAUGGGUAGUGAUUACCCAUACCCAUGCCCAUUUACCCAUCGGGCAUAACUUUUGACCCAAUAAGAUACCCAUGGGUAUAAAAUGGAGAACAAACCCAACCCUAAUAGGGUUUUUACCCACGGAUAAACGGGCAAACGGGCACAAUUGCCAUCCCUAGCCGUAACAUUUAGCAAAAUACUAAUCUUAAACCCAACAAGUGCUCUCCAAACCAAGCUAGAUAGUCGACUAUCACUAGGCUCACCAACCAACCUGGACUGUGAAAACACUUCCUGAUGUCGAAUUCCAAAAACCAGCGAGAGGUUCCCCACUCUUCUUUGAUCCGUCUGACGGCCGAGUGGCAGCCUCGACCUGAGCCGCUUGUUUUCUCAAAACAUGGAUUUGGCUCAGGAUUGCCCGUUUUUUAAUUCCAGGUUUCUCUAAAUUUGGAAGUUGCCACUUAGCAGGUUUCCAUACCAAGGCUCAAUACAAUCAAGUCCGUAGCAUCUACCGAUUUAAAUCGUUCUUGAACUCCAAGAUUUUUCUUCGUCUAUUUUACUUUGAGUUGAAUUCCUAAUUGUUUGAAUUGUGUAAUCUCCCAUUAUGGAGAUUGGUAAUCGACUCAAAGCAAUUUGAUUGUAAUUCAAUUCAUGACGAUCAUAAGUAGAAAGUUCAUAUUCUUCAGUCAUUGAUAAACAGUUUGUCGGACAGUACUCAACACAAUUACCACAAAAUAUACAAACUCCGAAAUCAAUACUAUAAUUAAGCAAUUGUUUCCUUUUAAUAUCCUUUUAAUAGUAUAUAACUGAAUAGAAAACGGAAUAAAAGUGGAUAACAUAGCGUAUUAGGCCGACAAGUAGGAAGCAUAGCAAGCUCAGCCGAAGAGCCCUGGACCAGCAACACCUGCAAAUGAAACAUGCAUGCCUUUCGCUGCGCGCCUUCAUUUGCUUUCGAAAUCAAACAAUGCAUUUCUUCUCAACAUAAACAUAUACCGGUCUUUCUCUCUAUCCUAUACUUGAACUUGCCAGAGCAAUGAACCUAUUUGAAGUGGCCCAUUUCGUACCAGAAAAUCCCAUGUAUGAACAAGGGUUGAUUUUACUUCCGCACUUAGCUACUUAUGAGGUCGAGCAGUCUGAAUUUCACUACAGGAUUUGCGAAUGAGUGCUAGGCUGGGCCACCUCAAAUGGCGUGAGCCGUGCGUACUGUUUCUCAAAAUAUGAGUGAAGGACAGUAAUUCUCUACUUAACAAGGGAAAGCUCUACUGGAAAGACAAUUACUCAAGCAGUAAAGCUCGGCCUCAGUGCGCCUAGCCUUUCAAAGCUAUUGUUUGAUUCUAGAAGGACCUUAGAGUAUUGUCACUGUUCCACUGGAAUAAAAAUAUUUGUCAGUGGUCAGUUUAGUUCAAACAACAAAGUGAGUGGCUAGGAGUUCUCUGCGAGUAGUUUGAUUUCUUACCUCACUACUGUUUCAAGUGCUUUUGCCUUCCAGCGAGUGUGAGUUCCCCCUAGGUAGGGCUAUAAGGGGUAGGGUCAACCAAAGGAUUUAAAACCUGAGCUUAGGCUGACGACUACUUCGAGAGCAGAUAGA
rnacentral:sRNA from 1 species